rnacentral:rRNA from 1 species
GAUGAACGCUGGCGGCGUGCCUAAUACAUGCCAGUCGAGCGAACAGACGAGGAGCUUGCUCCUCUGACGUUAGCGGCGGACGGGUGAGUAACACGUGGAUAACCUACCUAUAAGACUGGGAUAACUUCGGGAAACCGGAGCUAAUACCGGAUAACAUCUUGAAACACAUGGUUCAACAGUGAAAGACGGUCUUGCUGUCACUUAUAGAUGUCUCCCCUCCGCAUUGGCUGGUUGGUAAGGUAACGGCUUCCCAGGGCAAGGAUCAGUACCCACCCUGGAGGGUGGAUGGGCCACAUUGGAACGGGAAAACGGUCCAGACUCCUAGGGGAGGCAGCAGUAGGGAAUCUUCGGCAAUGGGCGAAAGCCUGACGGAGCAACGCCGCGUGAGUGAAGAAGGUCUUCGGAUCGUAAAACCCUGUUAUUAGGGAAGAACAAAUGUGGAAGUAACUAUGCACGUCGUGACGGUACCUAAUCAGAAAGCCACGGCUAACUACGUG